CAGCCGCCACGGGAAUACGUAGGGUGCGAGCGUUAAUCGGAAUUACUGGGCGUAAAGCGUGCGCAGGCGGUUAUAUAAGACAGAUGUGAAAUCCCCGGGCUCAACCUGGGACCUGCAUUUGUGACUGUAUGGCUAGAGUACGGUAGAGGGGGAUGGAAUUCCGCGUGUAGCAGUGAAAUGCGUAGAUAUGCGGAGGAACACUGAUGGCGAAGGCAAUCCACUGGACCUGUACUGACGCUCAUGCACGAAAGCGUGGGGAGCAAACAGGAUUAGAUACCCCAGUAGUCCCUGUCUCUUAUAC
rnacentral:rRNA from 1 species